AUCCCGAUAUCCCAUCCUGGUGCUCCGUAUCCCAAUAUCCCAUCGGGGUGUCCCCAUCCCCGUGACCCAUCCCGAUAUCCCAUCCCAAUAUCCCAUCCCGAUAUCCCAUCCCCCUGUCCCAUCCCCCUGUCCCAUCCCAAUAUCCCAUCCCCGUGUCCCAUCCCGAUAUCCCAUCCCAAUAUCCCAUCCCAAUAUCCCAUCCCAAUAUCCCAUCCCCGUGUCCCAUCCCCGUGUCCCAUCCCCGUGUCCCAUCCCCCUGUCCCAUCCCCGUGUCCCAUCCCCGUGUCCCAUCCCGUGUCCCACCCCGCUGUCCCGCCGCUGUCUGUGGGAGUGCCCUGGAAGCCGUGCCCUGGUGACAGUGACAGGGGGACACAGCCCCGCCCUGCCCUGCCCUGGUUACUCACCGUGCCCGGGCACCGUGAUCCCGUGUUCCAGAGCUCUUCCCCUUCCCUCCGCUCGGUGCCUCAGCUGCUUCCCGGAGGGACUUUUCCCAUUUCCCGGGGCUCUUUUCCCGUUUCCCAGGGCUCCUUUCCCAUUUCCCGGGGCUCUUUUCCCAUUUCCCGGGGCUCUUUUCCCAUUUCCCGGGCUCCUUUCCCAUUUCCCAGGGCUCUUUCCCCAUUUCCCGGGGCUCUUUUCCCAUUUCCCGGGGCUCUUUCCCCAUUUCCCGGGGCUCCUUUCCCAUUUCCCGGUGCUCCUUUCCCAUUUCCCGGGGCUCUUUUCCCAUUUCCCGGGGCUCCUUUCCCAUUUCCCGUGCUAUUUUCCCAUUUCCCGGGGCUCUUUUCCCAUUUCCCAGGCUCUUUUCCCAGCCUCCAAGGACCUUUUCCAGGUCCUGAAAAGCUCUUUUCCCCAUCCCAGGGGUCUUUUCCCGUUCCCGGGGGUCUUUUCCCCAUCCCGGGGAUCCUUUCCCGGUGCCCGCGGUUCCCGGUUCCCUUUCUCCAGUUCCCAGCCGCUCUCCCCAUCCCGGUUUCCCUUCCCCACCCCACUGGCUGCACUGGGAUGUUUCCUGAGGAAUCCGGGAGCCGGGAUUUGGUGUCGGCUAAUUGUUUAAUAUCCCCUAAUAAUUAUUUAAUUAUCCCCUCGGGCUUCAUCCCCUCGUUUCCUGCUCAAUUCCAGGGACACCGCCCAGGCGUGCCCUGUCCCGGUUAA
rnacentral:lncRNA from 1 species